rnacentral:rRNA from 1 species
UAAACGACUCUCGACAACGGAUAUCUCGGCUCUCGCAUCGAUGAAGAACGUAGCAAAAUGCGAUACUUGGUGUGAAUUGCAGAAUCCCGUGAACCAUCGAGUCUUUGAACGCAAGUUGCGCCCGAAGCCAUUAGGCCGAGGCACGUCUGCCUGGGCGUCACGC